CAACCCUCAGCAAUGGAUUAUCCAGAGGAGACUGGGAGACUUCGAUGGUCCCAGACCAUGCUUCCAGGGUGAUCCAGUAGCCCCAAAAAGCUUUUCUCUUUUUUGACUUCAGUGAUUUGAAGUGGAAUGGCACACAGAAAUACAGAAUCAAGCCAUUUUAUUCUCGCCCA